rnacentral:rRNA from 1 species
GAACCGCAUGGUUCUUGGCUGAAAGAUGGCGUAAGCUAUCGCUUUUGGAUGGACCCGCGGCGUAUUAGCUAGUUGGUGAGGUAACGGCUCACCAAGGCAAUGAUACGUAGCCGAACUGAGAGGUUGAUCGGCCACAUUGGGACUGAGACACGGCCCAAACUCCUACGGGAGGCAGCAGUAGGGAAUCUUCCACAAUGGACGCAAGUCUGAUGGAGCAACGCCGCGUGAGUGAAGAAGGCUUUCGGGUCGUAAAACUCUGUUGUUGGAGAAGAAUGGUCGGCAGAGUAACUGUUGUCGGCGUGACGGUAUCCAACCAGAAAGCCACGGCUAACUACGUGCCAGCAGCCGCGGUAAUACGUAGGUGGCAAGCGUUAUCCGGAUUUAUUGGGCGUAAAGCGAGCGCAGGCGGUUUUUUAAGUCUGAUGUGAAAGCCCUCGGCUUAACCGAGGAAGUGCAUCGGAAACUGGGAAACUUGAGUGCAGAAGAGGACAGUGGAACUCCAUGUGUAGCGGUGAAAUGCGUAGAUAUAUGGAAGAACACCAGUGGCGAAGGCGGCUGUCUGGU